rnacentral:lncRNA from 1 species
CCUCAUUUGCCCUUGCAGCCUCCUCUCGAAAGACAGUGAUGAGCUCCUCCAGUCGCCUCUGUUUUACAUCUGCAGGCACAUCAUCCUGCAGCCGGUGAUACGCCCGGGUUUUCUGUCUCAUGCUAUAAGCAAAGAGGAAGCCUAUGUUGUAGCGGACUUCCCGCAGCAAGGACACAGUCUGCUGGUGAUCUUCUUCCGUCUCCCCACAGAAACCAGCAAUGAAAUCACUGCUUAAACUCACUCCUGGAAUGGUGUUGCGCACAUGCUGUACAAGCUCUAAGUAUGCUUCUCUUGUG